rnacentral:rRNA from 1 species
GGAUGAGCCCGCGGCCUAUCAGCUUGUUGGUGGGGUAACGGCCCACCAAGGCGUCGACGGGUAGCUGGUCUGAGAGGACGAUCAGCCACACUGGGACUGAGACACGGCCCAGACUCCUACGGGAGGCAGCAGUGGGGAAUCUUGCGCAAUGGGCGAAAGCCUGACGCAGCAACGCCGCGUGCGGGAUGAAGGCCUUCGGGUUGUAAACCGCUUUCAGUGGGGACGAACCAAGACGGUAGCCACAGAAGAAGCCCCGGCCAACUACGUGACAGCAGCCGCGGCCG